UUUUGGCAGUGAUGAUUAAUAUACAGCUUUAAUGCCAGUUCUGCUACUCGAAAUUCUUGAUUGAUAGAGCUGUUAUAACUCUGAACCAUUU
rfam:Populus trichocarpa isolate Nisqually-1 chromosome 19, whole genome shotgun sequence.